CCCAGCCGAUGGAUAGUCAGUAAAGAAUCAGAAUUACCUGGAAAGGUAAGCCGGAGAGGGUGACAGCCCCGUACGAGUAGAAAAGCUGACUGUUCUUGAGUAAGGCGGAGCACGAGAAAUUCUGUCUGAAAAUGGGGAGACCACUCUCCAAGGCUAAGUACUACUGAUUGACCGAUAGUGAACAAGUACCGUGAGGGAAAGGUGAAAAGCACCCCUAUAAGGGGAGUGAAAGAGAACCUGAAACCGGAUGCCUACAAGCAGUCGGAGGGUCUAUAAGGCCUGACGGCGUACCUUUUGUAUAAUGGGUCAGCGACUUAAUUUAUGUAGCAAGCUUAAGCCGAUAGGUGUAGGCGUAGAGAAAUCGAGUGUUAACAGCGCGUUAAGUUACAUGAAUUAGACCCGAAACCGAGUGAUCUAGCCAUGAUCAGGUUGAAGGUUGGGUAACACCAACUGGAGGACCGAACCCACUCCCGUUGAAAAGGUAGGGGAUGAAUUGUGGCUAGGGGUGAAAGGCCAAUCAAACUCGGAAAUAGCUGGUUCUCCGCGAAAACUAUUUAGGUAGUGCGGUGAGCGGACACCUUGAGGGGUAGAGCACUGGAAGAGCUAAGGGGGAGCGAUCCUUACUAAACUUUACCAAACUCCGAAUACUCAAGAGUGAUACUCACCAGACAGACAUUAGGUGCUAAGGUCUAGUGUCGAGAGGGAAAGAGCCCAGACCGCCAAUUAAGGUCCCAAAAUUAUGGCUAAGUGGUAAAGGAAGUGAAACGUCCAAAACAGUCAGGAGGUUGGCUUAGAAGCAGCCAUCCUUUAAAGAAAGCGUAAUAGCUCACUGAUCUAAACAAGACGUCUUGCGCCGAAGAUGUAACGGGGCUAAAGCCAUAUACCGAAGUUGCGGAUUUACACGUUAAAGUGUAAGUGGUAGCGGAGCGUUCUGUAAGCCUGCGAAGGUGUACCGUAAGGUAUGCUGGAGGUAUCAGAAGUGAGAAUGCUGACAUGAGUAGCGAAAAGAAGAGUGAGAGACUCUUCCGCUGAAAGUCCAAGGUUUCCUGCGUAAAGCUAAUCUGCGCAGGGUUAGUCGGUCCCUAAGGCGAGGCAGAGAUGCGUAGUCGAUGGCAAUCAGGUUAAUAUUCCUGAACCGGCCCGGAAGUGACGGAUUGAGUAAAUUGUAAGUUCUUAUUGGAUUGAACUUGCAGUGAAUCAGUCCCAGGAAAUAGCCCGGGCUAAGACCGUACCCGAAACCGACACAGGUGGACAGGUAGAGAAUACCAAAGCGCUUGAGAGAACUAUGUUGAAGGAACUAGGCAAAAUACUUGCGUAACUUCGGGAUAAGCAAGCCCCAUUUUAAGGCAACUUAGGGUGGGGGGCACAUACUAGGGGGUAGCGACUGUUUACUAAAAACACAGGGCUCUGCUAAAUUGAAAGAUGAAGUAUAGGGUCUGACGCCUGCCCGGUGCUGGAAGGUUAAGGAGAGAUGUGCAAGCAUUGAAUUGAAGCCCCAGUAAACGGCGGCCGUAACUAUAACGGUCCUAAGGUAGCGAAAUUCCUUGUCGGGUAAGUUCCGACCUGCACGAAUGGCGUAACGACUUCCCCGCUGUCUCCAACAUAGGCUCAGCGAAAUUGAACUCUGAGUUAAGAUGCUCAGUACCCGCGGUUAGACGGAAAGACCCCGUGAACCUUUACUAUAGCUUUGCAGUGGUAUUAGGUAACAAAUGUGUAGAAUAGGUGGGAUGCUAUGAAGCUACGACGCCAGUUGUAGUGGAGCAGACUUUGAAAUACCACCCUUUUGUUGUUUGAUAUCUAACCUGCUCCCGUUAUCCGGGAGAGGGACCCUGCAUGGUGGGUAGUUUGACUGGGGCGGUCGCCUCCCAAAGAGUAACGGAGGCGCGCAAAGGUUGGCUCAGAUUGGUCAGAAAUCAAUCGUCGAGUGCAAUGGCAUAAGCCAGCCUGACUGCGAGAGAGACAUUUCGAGCAGAUACGAAAGUAGGUCAUAGUGAUCCGGUGGUCCCGAG
rnacentral:rRNA from 1 species